rnacentral:rRNA from 1 species
UACGAGGGGGGGCGAGCGUUGUUCGGAAUUAUUGGGCGUAAAGGGUGCGUAGGCGGUUUGGUAAGUCUUAUGUGAAAUCUAUGGGCUCAACCCAGAGUCUGCAUUAGAAACUGUCGGGCUUGAGUAUGGGAGAGGUGAGUGGAAUUUCCGGUGUAGCGGUGAAAUGCGUAGAUAUCGGAAGGAACACCUGUGGCGAAAGCGGCUCACUGGCUCGUUUCUGACGCUCAGGCGCGACAGCGUGGGGAUCAAACAGG